CGGAGGAGAAGAGGUUGAGGCUGGGGCUGGAAGGAGGAAGCUCCGCGAGGGAGGAAGGGGAAGACGCGCCGCGUCUGGGCAGGGAAGAGACUGGUACCCAGACAGGUGUCGAGGACGGAGGCGAUCUACCGUCCCUGCCAUAUAGCCUGGUCGAGGGUCAGGAUUAGGAGUGCCAGUGAACUCGGAGGUGCCAGCCCAACUCAGAUGUGCCAAAAGGAUGGAUGGAUGGAUGGAUGGAGAGCAUCUGCUUCUCUCGCCAGAUCCAC